UACGGAGGGUGCAAGCGUUAUCCGGAUUCACUGGGUUUAAAGGGUGCGUAGGUGGGCAGGUAAGUCAGCGGUGAAAUCCCCGAGCUUAACUUGGGAACUGCCAUUGAUACUAUCUGUCUUGAAUACCUUGGAGGUGAGCGGAAUAUGUCAUGUAGCGGUGAAAUGCUUAGAUAUGACAUAGAACACCAAUUGCGAAGGCAGCUGGCUACACAAAUAUUGACACUGAGGCACGAAAGCGUGGGGAUCAAACAGG
rnacentral:rRNA from 1 species